AGUGAACGCUGGCGGUAGGCCUAACACAUGCAAGUCGAACGGCAGCACAGUAAGAGCUUGCUCUUACGGGUGGCGAGUGGCGGACGGGUGAGGAAUACAUCGGAAUCUACUUUUUCGUGGGGGAUAACGUAGGGAAACUUACGCUAAUACCGCAUACGACCUACGGGUGAAAGCAGGGGAUCUUCUGACCUUGCGCGAUUGAAUGAGCCGAUGUCGGAUUAGCUAGUUGGCGGGGUAAAGGCCCACCAAGGCGACGAUCCGUAGCUGGUCUGAGAGGAUGAUAAGCCACACUGGAACUGAGACACGGUCCAGACUCCUAAGGGAGGCAGCAGUGGGGAAUAUUGGACAAUGGGCGCAAGCCUGAUCCAGCCAUACCGCGUGGGUGAAGAAGGCCUUCGGGUUGUAAAGCCCUUUUGUUGGGAAAGAAAAGCAGCCGGUUAAUACCCAGCUGUUCUGACGGUACCCAAAGAAUAAGCACCGGCUAACUUCGUG
rnacentral:rRNA from 1 species